AAAUUGCAACAAUUAUCAUCUGGGUGAUUUUAUUUUAAGAGCACUGGUGCUCCUAUAUUAAAAUUCCAGGUCACACAGCAAAAUAUUUAGGUACAUAUGCAAGUAAAAUGGUCACACUGUAGAGCCAUGUGACUCAUGUUUUCCAUUGCAGAGUGCAUCAUGUUGAAUUGCAGCACCACAGAGCCUUCUAGUGCAUCUCCCCGUAUUUGACUGCAGGAUUGUUCAUGGUACACUCAUUUUCCUAAUUGUGUUCUCAAGUGGGUUUCUGGUAAUGCAAACACUACUGCCAUUAGAAAUGACCAGGGAUGAAUUAAAGGAAAUUAGAGAUCUAUCCAACCCCGAGGGGAAUGAAACAACACACAAUCAGGGAAAACACAAUGUGCUCAAUGGAUUUCGGAUUUCGGAUGGAUGGAUUUCGGAUUUGGAUGGAUUUCGGAUUUUUUUCAAUGGAUUUCGGAUUUUUUUUACCUGUGAUACAUUUCCAUGCUAAAGAUAUUACAAUAAUGUAAUGGGUUCCUACUCAUGACUCUCAGUUGCUUCCUUUCAAAACAUUCAAAGACAAUUGCUCCAUUAUACGGAUAUGACUUUGAAAAUGCACAGUGCCUUGAAAGAUAUAUUUUGAACUACUCUCUCAGUGAUGCGUUUUAUUGUGCUCGCCAGGCCAUGGACUGCUGUAAAUGGAUUCAUUCUGCAGUAAUCACACUGAGCAUAGAGACAAUAUCCCUGAGAUGCAUCAGGGCAGACUGGUCUCAGCUAUCCCUUCUCUGCUGUACGUAGCAACAGGUGAUGGGGAGCAUGGGGAGUGGUGUGCUUUGAGCACUGAAACAUUGGGAUUGGUGAAACGUCACCACAUAGAACAAAGAGUAUAGAGGCAGAGAUGCAACUUUAAAAUGGAGUCUGACAGUAAGGUAAGAAUACUUGGAAGGGCAGCCCUAAAGUGGUCUCCAGUGGCAUUGACUUCGAGGAGGUAAUCAUUAUAGGUCAUCUCAUCAUGCUAUAUGUCAUACUGUGAAAUGGUGUGAUGAAAAGUAUUGGUGUGGCAGGGUUGACCUCCUUAGAAGUAGGAGGAAUACACUUGAAGCACCUUUUUUUCUAGGCGGGCGGGGAGCAGUUCCAAUCAUCUGUAAAUGUCAUGAGCUCUGACGGAGGGUUUGGAUAUUGACUGAGUCUGGCUAGAUGAAGGACGGACGCUAAUCUUCUCCGGCCAUGUAUAUCAAUUCAGAAAAGCCACCAGACCACGUCACGCAAUAUACAAAUUACAGUAUUCUAGAAAUGACACAGAUUUUUUCAGUCCUGUGAAAUGGUGUGAUGAUCGUCAUGCUUUGUGCACAUCCUGGCUGUGUUAAAUGUGUGCUGGCUCUGAUGACUGACUGAAUGAUUAUACAGUGACCUGCACUGAUUUAUUUGAGAGAGAACCGGUGUGUGCUUCAAGUUACUGUCUGUCUGGGAAGUGUAAUGUUUGACCUCUCACUUCCACCCAGCUGAAUGAACAGGCAGUAACCUUUUAAAACAUGGCCCUCAGCUUAGCACAUGUAGCAACUGUUCCACUCAAAUAAUAACACUCUGAUCAUUCUAAAUGAGAGCAUGUACUGACACUGGUUGUAUGAUUGGUUGAGUUUGGAAUCUGAACACCAAUUAGUUGUGGUUGUUGGCUGUAAUUUGUUGGGCUGUGUAUAAAGAUUGCACCAUAGCUAACCCUGUAAAACAACAAAUUUCACUGCACCUAUACAUUUUUUUUAAACACUGUUGUUAGUCAGGCUAUUUGCACGGCAUAAUAGCAUUCAGUUCUGUGGACUGUGAUUUAAGAAUGUGAUUUUUAGCUGGCUCCUAUUAUAAGAGUUUGGAUGGAAGAUGCUGUUAAAUGUAGUUUUGAAGUUGUUGUGACGAGAAAUGCAAACCCUUAUCACCUUGAUUGCAACGUCUACUCCUCUGUGCACAUACUCCUCUGUGCACAUGAGUCACACUCUGUUGCUGUGUUUUUCAUGGGCUUGCUGUGUCACCACUGCCACCUAAUGUGCAGUGCCUAAAACUGCAUACACUCUAUUCAGAAGGUCACAUACAGCUCCCAAAUAAAAUCACAAGCUGUAUUUUGGGGGAUCGAAUGUCUAAACUAUAUGGUAUAUAUUGUUAUUACUGACAUUGAUUUUUUUGUGACAGUCAGUAUUUUGUCUGAUUGGUUAUUGUGUUUGUACCCCAGGUAAAAGAAGCCAUGCAGAGGAUCCACGACAGAGGCAACAUAGGAAAGCUAAUCCUGGAUGUGGAGAAGUCUCCCACUCCUUUGAUGGCCAGUGACAGCACAGAGACCAGUGAGGCUGGUGAGGAGGAGGAGGAACAUGAAGGGGACAGUGACAACAAGGAGCGCAUGCCUUUCAUCCAGUAGGCCCAGGUACGGCACCACAACUGGCCUGGACACCUCAAAGGAAGGAGGUGGAGGGGGGAUUAGUUCCAUAACAGAUGACUCCACAACCCGAACUACGCACCGUGAACUCAAACCUUUGUACAAUAUGUGAGUGUAUGUUUGUGUGCUUGUGUGUGGGUCUGUUGUCUUUUGUUAUGUAAGAUGUUUGAAAGACAUAUGGAAACUCAUAAGACACUGGUUGUCAAAGUUGCCCCUCAGCUAAAGUGCCAUUCACUAUCCAGUAUUAUGAUGAGCAUUGUGUUGCUGAACAAAUGAUGUUAAGAGAUGCUUAUACCUAUCUGCAGCCUCGUCAUUGUUCAUUGUGUUCUAUGGCAACCUUAACAAGGGAGCCAAGUAGGAACGGAGUGAAUAAGGGGUUGAUUAUGUUGCUUUUAGGGAAAAUACGAGAGUGCGAUGAUUGAGUGUGAAAGAGAACAGUAAGUGAGUGAGAGUGAACCAGGAACAUAAGUGAUAUUGACCAUGCUUGUACUCCUGUCUUGAUGGUUGAAACAAGAGGGAAACUAGGAGGGUGGGUGUUAGAGUAAACAUCUCCUCUAAGCUCCCCUUUCUCUUUUACCACUAUUAUGAUGACUCAGAAGUGAGAUUCAUUUUGGCUGCUUCAUGAACACUAGUCACUCUGAUUACCCCAUUACCACUGAAUACACAGCAAACCCAGAGCAGAUUGGCCCUGGGCUAUUUACCCCCACCUGCUGCAGUGAGUUUAUCAAAAUCACUCUCUGAGAUCGUUUCUCGCCCUCCUCUCUCAGGUUAUCUUCAGCAGUGUGUGAGCUAGGAGAGAGUAUUAGGAAAUGCCACUGUAAAUGCCUGCUACCAUGUUUACCGACACAUUAGAGAUCCGACCUUCUGCAAUGUUGUUAUGGAAUCACCAGUGCCUUUGAGCUAGAAGUCUGCUGCAGUCUUGUAGAAGAUUUCAGAAUUUGAAUUGUACCCAUUCCACAAACACUAAAUUUCAUGGUGGUUCUGCCAAAUGCCAGGUAGCAUUCUGAGUGUGUUUCCUACAUUUCUGUAACUAAUAAAAAUAAGAACGAUAAUGUCAGCUUUUGGCCUCAUCCAUAGUCCACAUUUCAGACAAACAAUGCAGAGAGAAAUGGCAUGGUGGCCAGGUAAUGAUGAUGAUUAACCACACCCGUUUCUGUUUAGCCUGUGUUCUUUAUGUGUGUGUGUAAGAAGUUGUGUUACAUUUACUGGCUGGUGCCUGUGUAUAGUGUACAAUGCCUCCCAAACAGAGUGCCAAUGAGAGGGAGGACUAAAGACACAUUCACUUACAGAUGAGCUGAUGGGCCAUCAAGAAUGGAAGUACUAUUGCUGUGGAUACCACAGGACAGGAGUUAUUCGUAUCAGAUGUUACCAUCUCAUGUGAGAUGGAGUAUGACAACUGUAUUGUGCUACCAGUCUUAUCCAUAUGGAAAGUGUGAAAUCAAUCAUCCAACGUACAAAGCUAUUUAUUCAUUAAAAUAUGAAGCUACCAUUGAUGGUACGGAGAUGAAAGCUAUUCAAUCGCCUUGUUAUAAACAGUAAAUCUAGCUAAGGCAGCUGUGUUUCAUAUAACUGCAAGUUUACAUAUUACCUUCAUGAGUAUUCCCAAACCAAAAAUACAUGUAAAUGUACAGACACAUAAAUAAAUGUACAGACACAGUAUAAAACAGCAUACAAUUCUUGUAACUUUGCAAGUGAAUAGAAAAUAUACAUUUUUGUAUGUACCCUACUGUCUGUAUGGAAAGAAAGGCCCAGGUAUUACAUGGCUGUAGAAGUGAUUGGAAAGUAGUCAGCUGUGCUUCUCCAAAUGAACCACCCACUGGUGAAGAAAUACAGUUUCACACAUUUCAUUGAUCUUUCAUUUGACACUUACAACAUUCACAUGAUCUUUAAUUAGCUAAGUCACAUUAAAUGUCACAACAUUUUAUUCAAAAUUCUAUUAGCUACAUCACAACAUUGCACCUAUUUCCUUUCAUGAUAGACUUGGCAAUGGGGCUGGAAAUCAAGUAUAUUAAUGAAGGAGAACAGUACAUCUAAAUGUGAAUGUCUCUUUGGGUUUUCCUGUUAGUCUAGGUCUAGAGUGUAGAGUAACUUGCAGUGUGUAUGUUUGUGUUUCCAUGGGAGGUCAUUAUGAUGGAAAGUCAUCUUGCCUUAAAAGUUCAAAAAGAUAAAACAAACUAUGUAGGUGUGUUUAGUACUGUAGCUGGAGCCUGAUUACAGACUUAUAUGAAGAUAUUGUUUAACUGUAUUUGUUGGUAUUAGUGUUUUUGUUAUGUUAUACUGUACGUAGUCCAGUUCUGUUUACAUGAAUAAAUGUUUCUGCAGAGCA